AGGAACCCAGGCAGUAGCAUCGUUUCACAAUGUUUCCAUCACCAUCAUCAGUGGAUGCCUUUGCCGUCCGUAGCCUGAGAUUUCAGAUUUGCAGCAAAAAAAUUGAUUUUCUCAUUUAUUGGAAUGCUGUGCAGGUUGUACCUUGCAGCCAUCCAUUACAAUGUCACCAAGCCGUAACAAAAGCAGGAGAGGGAAAGUACAAGGCUAUGUUCCCAAAACACACAAGUGACAUACCUUAUGUGGAUGAUGUGAUCAGGCUUGUGUUUGUUGAGGUAUUUGAAGAUGAGCUGAAGGAAACCCCGAUUCCAAUGGACCUGGCAUCACAGUUUGAGAGACCUUCAAAGGAGGACGUGAUUGCAUG